CUGCGAGUUCGCGGGAGAGUAGGUUAUUGCCAGGGUUUUUGUUUUUAUGCUUUUAACUUUGAUUUUAUUUUUGCGUUUUUAAAUAUUAGUGUUUUUGAAUGUGUUAUUUAAAUAACAUAAAAAAUGAAAUAUAUAUUGACAUGUAUUAAACAAAGAUAUAUAUUACUUUAUGUUGCAUAAACAAAUUGGCAAAAUAGAGAUGGAAGAUAAAAAUAUGGUCAAAGUAAUAAGAGUCUAUGGUGAAUGCCUAGGA
rnacentral:misc_RNA from 1 species